UACGGAGGGUGCUAGCGUUGUUCGGAAUUACUGGGCGUAAAGCGCGUGUAGGCGGCCCAUUAAGUCUGAUGUGAAAGCCCGGGGCUCACCCCCGGAAGUGCAUUGGAGACUGAUGGGCUCGAGUCCCGGAGAGGAGGGUGGAAUUCCUGGUGUAGCGGUGAAAUGCGUAGAUAUCAGGAGGAACACCGGUGGCGAAGGCGGCCCUCUGGACGGUGACUGACGCUGAGACGCGAAAGCGUGGGGAGCAAACAGG
rnacentral:rRNA from 1 species